CCCCGAGAGGGACCUAGUGCCUCUACCCAGAUUUCUGUCGCUCUGUCACCUGCGCUAUGCCCUGCCGUACUCACAGGAGCUGUAGAGAGGACCCCGGGACAUCUGAAAGCCGGGAAAUGAUGCAGCUCCUGGAGUUCCCAGUACGUCAACACUGGCCUGAGGAGCUGGCCUAGCACUUCCCACCAUUGAAACUGCAGUCUGGACAGCAGAGAAAGGAUAGACCCAUCACACCCGAGUCAAGAAAGCACCACCACCCCCAAAGUCGUAGGCCAUUAUUCCAGGGGAAAACCCCCUCAAACUAAAGCUAAGAAAAAUUAA
rnacentral:sRNA from 1 species